rnacentral:rRNA from 1 species
GACGAACGCUGGCGGCGUGCUUAACACAUGCAAGUCGAACGAGUGGCGGACGGGUGAGUAAUGUCUGGGAAACUGCCCGAUGGAGGGGGAUAACUACUGGAAACGGUAGCUAAUACCGCAUACCAUCGGAUUUGCCCAGCUGGGAUUAGCUAGUAGGUGGGGUAACGGCUCACCUAGGCGACGAUCCCUAGCUGGUCUGAGAGGUUGACCAGCCACACUGGAACGGAGAAACGGUCCAGACUCCUAGGGGAGGCAGCAUUGGGGAAUAUGGCACAAUGGGCGCAAGCCUGAUGAAGCAAUGCCGCGUGUAUGAAGAAGGCCUGCGGGUUGUAAAGUACUUUCAGCGAGGAGGCGUUACUCGCAGAAGAAGCACCGGCUAACUCCGUGCCAGCAGCCGCGGUAAUAC